GACCAGGUGUCUCUGUCUCUCUCCUCUCCAGGACCAGGUGUCUCUGUCUCUCUCCUCUCCAGGACCAGGUGUCUCUGUCUCUCUCCUCUCCAGGACCAGGUGUCUCUGUCUCUCUCCUCUCCAGGACCAGGUGUCUCUGUCUCUCUCCUCUCCAGGACCAGGUGUCUCUGUCUCUCUCCUCUCCAGGACCAGGUGUCUCUGUCUCUCUCCUCUCCAGGACCAGGUGUCUCUGUCUCUCUCCUCUCCAGGACCAGGUGUCUCUGUCUCUCUCCUCUCCAGGACCAGGUGUCUCUGUCUCUCUCCUCUCCAGGACCAGGUGUCUCUGUCUCUCUCCUCUCCAGGACCAGGUGUCUCUGUCUCUCUCCUCUCCAGGACCAGGUGUCUCUGUCUCUCUCCUCUCCAGGACCAGGUGUUCAUGCCUCUGGUCCUCUCUCUCCUCUCCAG